GAGUGAGUGGCGAACUGGUGAGUAACACGUGGGAAACCUGCCCAGAAGCGGGGGAUAACACCUGGAAACAGAUGCUAAUACCGCAUAACAACUUGGACCGCAUGGUCCGAGCUUGAAAGAUGGCUUCGGCUAUCACUUUUGGAUGGUCCCGCGGCGUAUUAGCUAGAUGGUGGGGUAACGGCUCACCAUGGCAAUGAUACGUAGCCGACCUGAGAGGGUAAUCGGCCACAUUGGGACUGAGACACGGCCCAAACUCCUACGGGAGGCAGCAGUAGGGAAUCUUCCACAAUGGACGAAAGUCUGAUGGAGCAACGCCGCGUGAGUGAAGAAGGGUUUCGGCUCGUAAAACUCUGUUGUUAAAGAAGAACAUAUCUGAGAGUAACUGUUCAGGUAUUGACGGUAUUUAACCAGAAAGCCACGGCUAACUACGUGCCAGCAGCCGCGGUAAUACGUAGGUGGCAAGC
rnacentral:rRNA from 1 species